UACGUAGGGGGCUAGCGUUAUCCGGAAUUACUGGGCGUAAAGGGUGCGUAGGCGGUUUUUUAAGUCGGAAGUGAAAGGCUACGGCUCAACCGUAGUAAGCUUUUGAAACUGGUAAUCUUGAGGGCAGGAGGGGACAGUAGAAUUCCUGGUGUAGCGGUGAAAUGCGUAGAAAUCAGGAGGAAUACCGGUGGCGAAGGCGGCUCUCUGGACUGUAACUGACACUGAGGCACGAAAGCGUGGGGAGCAAACA
rnacentral:rRNA from 1 species